rnacentral:rRNA from 1 species
GGGUCAGUAGGUUGGUCGUGCCACCGGUACGUACUGGUCUCACUGAUUCCUCCUUCCUGAAGAACCGUAAUGCCAUUAAUUUGGUGUUGCGGGGAAACAGGACUGUUACUUUGAAAAAAUUAGAGUGUUUAAAGCAAGCUAACGCUUGAAUACAUUAGCAUGGAAUAAAGAAAUAGGACGAUCGAUCCUAUUUUGUUGGUUUAUAGGAUUGAAGUA